ACCCGCUGAACUUAAGCAUAUUAAUAAGCGGAGGAAAAGAAACUAACAAGGAUUCCCAUAGUAAUGGCGAACGAAGUGGGAAAAGCUUGAAAUUGGAAUCAAAUCUGUGAAAAUAGAUUUGAAUUGUAGUUUAGAAAAGAUUGUUAUUUGCAUUGUUUUGGUGUUGCAGAGUGCCUUUGAAAAGGGUAUUGGAGAGGGUGAUAAUCCCGUGUGCGACGCUGAAAGAAUGGUUGGACAAUGCUUUGACGAGUCAGGUUGUUUGGGAAUGCAGCCUAAAGCGGGUGGUAGACAUCAUCUAAAGCUAAAUAGGGGCACGAAACCGAUAGCGAACAAGUACUGUGAAGGAAAGAUGAAAAGCACUUUGGAAAGAGAGUGAGAGGAGGACGUGAAAUCGUUAGUACUUGGAUAAGCGGAGGGUUGCUGGUGAAGGAGAGUGUGGUCAAGAUCCUUGGAAAGAAAUUUCUGGGCGCUCUUGGUCCUGCUGGAGGAGAAGACGGUUUCUGGGGCAGACGGUCACAGGCCAAGGUGGCGUGCAGCAAUGGACGCGUUAUAGGGCCGUGAGGCGGCUGUGUGCCGGGGAGCGUUGUGGAAGGUGCUGGUGAUGGAGGGUGGUGUGCGGUGCCUGCCAGCUUGCGAAGGAGUGCUUUGAAGAGAGGCAGUCUGAGUGGUUUAUGGUGGGUGAGCAUGCGAUUGAUUCCAAACAGUGCUGAUUUCUCUUGACGAUAAAGCCAAACCUACCGACCCGUCUUGUAACACGGACCAAGGAGUAUACCAUGUAUGCGAGUUUGAGACAAGUAUAAAAGUCGCAGGCGGAAUGAAAGUGAGAGCGAUGCAGUCGCUAGCUGUUCUUUGGGACAGACUAAGAGCGUAUAUGGUGUGACCCGAAAAGUGCUGAACUAUGCUUGAGUAGGGCGAAGUCAGAGGAAACUCUGAUGGAGGCUCGUAGCGGUUUUAACGUGCAAAUUAAUGGUCGAACUUGGGUAUAGGGGCGAAAGACUAAUCGAAGCACUUGGUAGCUGGUUACCGCCGAAGUUUCCCCCAGGAUAGCGGGGUCCUCAAAGAACGGUUUUAUCGGGUAAAGCGAAUGAUUAGAGGUAAUGGGGUUGAAACAACCUCGACCUAUUCUCAAACUUUGAAUUGGUAAAAACGGGCGCUUGUGUUUUGAAAGCGGCCGAGUAACGUGGGGCCCUAGUGGGCUAGUUUUGGUAAGCAGAACUGGCGAUGCGGGAUGAACCGAAAGAUGCAGUUAAGGAACCGGAUGUGGAGGCUCAUUGGACUAAUCAAAAAGGUGUUGGUUUUUUAAGACAGCAGGACGGUGGCCAUGGAAGUCGGAACCCGCUAAGGAGUGUGUAACAACUCACCUGCCGAAAAAACUAGCCCUUAAAAUGGAUGGUUUUGUUGCCUUGCUCCUAGACUGGUCUGCCCAAAUAAUGGGGUGUGUAAGCACCAACAACACUUGGAUUUGGGCAUGUAGGCGGUUGUGAGGAUUGUGUGGAAGAGUGGGGGUGACCCUGCUUGGAACGGUCCUUAGUACAGAUCUUGGUGGAAGUAGCAAAUAUUCAAAGGAGAGGAAAGUUGUGACUCUUUGAAGACUGAAAGUGGAGAAAGGUUCCGUGUGAACUGUGGUAGGACACGGGUGAGUCGGUCCUAAGGAGGGUGCCGGAAGGUUAGAAGAUAAGAUUGGUGAAAAAGUAUGGAUAGAAAUAUGCGUGCUUGUUUCAUAGACCUCCGAAAGGGAAUCUGGGUUAAUAUUCCAGAACCACAGUUGGCUUUGUUUUUGGGGUGGCAACACUUUGGGGACGGGAGACGACUGGGCGUGAUUCAGGAAGAGUUUUUUGUGCUUUUCUUUUUAAUCUGUCAGGAUGCUUGGAAUGGGAUUAUGCCGAGAAAAGGAUCCUGGGGGAGAAGAAACGGCGCUUUUGUGGUGCUGUUCUGGAGGGCACGCCAAGUCCCGUGAAAAUCGCGUCUCUGUGAAAAGGAAAGCUGUGGCCGUACUGCAAACCGCAUCAGGUCUCCAAGGUGAAGAGCCUCUAGUUGAUAGAAGAAUGUAUGAUAAGGGAAAUCGGCAAACUGGAUCCGUAACUUCGGAAUAAGGAUUGGCUCUUGUGUGGGGGGUGUUAAAGGGAUGGGGGAAAGGGGGUGUAUACAAAGACUGGAUGGUGUCAAAGCUGUGUGGUCUAAGCGUGUGCUCUCACACCCCAUCUCUACAACACCCCAAAUACCACAAACAAGAACUGGUACGGACAAGGGGAAUCCGACUGUUUAAUUAAAACAUAGCAUUGCGAUGGUUCCAAAGGAUGGUGACGCAAUGUGAUUUCUGCCCAGUGCUCUGAAUGUCAAAGUGAUGAAAUUUAUGAAAGCGCGGGUAAACGGCGGGUGUAACUAUGACACUCUUAAGGUAGCCAAAUGCCUCGUCAUCUAAUUAGUGACGUGCAUGAAUGGAUCAAUGAGAUUCCCACUGUCCCUAUCUACUAUCUAGCGAAACCGCAGCCAAGGGAACGGACUUGGGUGGAUCAGCGGGGAAAGAAGACCCUAUUGAGCUUGACUCUAGUCUGACUUUGUGAGGGGUUGUUUGAGGUGUAGCGUAGGUGGGAGGGGUCAAACCCGGCAAUGAAACACCACUACUCGAAUCAACUCUUGACUCCAGUUUUGAUGGUGGGGAAGAUGUGACAGUCUCUUUUUGCUUUUGCUUCUCUCCACUCAAACUAACAGAUCCAGAUGGGGAGUUUGGCUGGGGCGGCACAUCUGUCAAAAGAUAACGCAGGUGUCCUAAGGUGAGCUCAAUGAGACGAGAAAUCUCAUGUGGAACAAAAGGGUACAAGCUCACUUGAUUUUUUGCUUCUCAGUACCAAGACAAACUGUGAAAGCAUGGCCUAUCGAUCCUUUAGAAGCAUUAACAUGUCUUUAUCUAGAGGUGUCAGAAAAGUUACCAUAGGGAUAACUGGCUUGUGGCAGCCAAGCGUUCAUAGCGACGUUGCUUUUUGAUCCUUCGAUGUCGGCUCUUCCUAUCACUGUCUCGCAGAAGAGACAAAUGGCGGGAUUGUUCACCCUCUAACAGGGAACGUGAGCUGGGUUUAGACCGUCGUGAGACAGGUUAGUUUUACCCUACUGAUCUCGUAAAGUAUGAAAAGAAUCAUUUUUUAGUACGAGAGGAACUAAAAUGAGUGAUAUUUGGCCGGGAUUUGCUUGAACAAGCACUGAUCCUAAGCUACCAUCGCUUAGCUAACGGUUGAACGCCUCUUAAACCGGA
rnacentral:rRNA from 1 species